rnacentral:rRNA from 1 species
UACGUAGGGUGCGAGCGUUGUCCGGAAUUAUUGGGCGUAAAGGGCUCGUAGGCGGUUUGUCGCGUCGGGAGUGAAAUCCACUGGCUUAACUGGUGGCUUGCUUUCGAUACGGGCAGACUGGAGGUAUGCAGGGGAGAACGGAAUUCCUGGUGUAGCGGUGAAAUGUGCAGAUAUCAGGAGGAACACCGGUGGCGAAGGCGGUUCUCUGGGCAUGUCCUGACGCUGAGGAGCGAAAGUGUGGGGAGCGAACGGG